rnacentral:rRNA from 1 species
UUGUGAGAAGUUCAUUAAACCUUAUCAUUUAGAGGAAGGAGAAGUCGUAACAAGGUUUCCGUAGGUGAACCUGCGGAAGGAUCAUUGUACACACAAUAAAGCAAACCAGCGAACUGUUGUUGUCCCCCGAGGGGCCUCACCCGGAGGUGAGGCCGUCGAUGGCGUGACCCGGCCCAAGAGGCUGGCCUGCGGGCGAAGCGGGGUGCCGUCGGCUGGAGUGUCCCGUACUCGCGGCUCCGGUCGUUCGUGGCUGGCUCCUCCGGGAGUGAGUCGUUGGCGGUCGAGGUCGGGCCCUCCCCUCCCCCUCUGUCCCCGUCUUUGGGGACUCGGGGGCCGAUUUUUCCACAAGCAGCUUGAGGAACGCGAAACGAGAGACUGAGCCUGGGGUCCUAGCCUUGCCCUCACGGGUGAGAGUUCGGGGCCCCGAGUUGAAAACAAAAACAACGACUCUCAGCAACGGAUAUCUUGGCUCUUGCAACGAUGAAGAACGCAGCGAAAUGCGAUACCUAGUGUGAAUUGCAGAAUUCCGCGAAUCAUCGAGUCUUUGAACGCAAGUUGCGCCCGAGGCUUGUCCCGAGGGCAUGCCUGCCUGAGCGUCACCGCACUCCCACUCCCGUGGUUACAUCUCGGUUCGCGAACCGGGGGUGCUGCCGAGAGUGGAACUGGCCGUCCGGGACCUGGCGUGAAGCCGAUGGUGUCGCGGUUGGCUGAAAUGCAGCGUUCUGGAUGCAACUCAAGAGAGGGGCCGCGAGAAGGUGAUCCGCCCCUCGCCGGGUGGAGUCAAAAGACAGCGGUUCUCUCGCUUGGGUGAUCCGGGACGACCGCGAUGGGGCACGGCUCCGUCGGGGAAAAAUGUGAGGAGGUGGCCUGUUCAUCUCCUCUCCAGCUUGGACCUCAGAUCAGGCAAGAUUACCCGCUGAGUUUAAGCAUAUCACUAAGCGGAGGAAAAGAAACUAAC